AGCUUUGCGCAGUGGCAGUAUCGUAGCCAAUGAGGUUUAUCCGAGGCGCGAUUAAGUGACGUGGAAAGAAACUCAGGGCAGAAAGCAAGCCAGGAUUUGUGCCUGCCUUCUGUACAUUGGCUGGAGCAGCCUCCUUAGCACUGUCCCUGGCU
rnacentral:snRNA from 1 species